rnacentral:rRNA from 1 species
UACGAAGGGGGGCUAGCGUUGCUCGGAAUCACUGGGCGUAAAGCGCACGUAGGCGGGUCUUUAAGUCAGGGGUGAAAUCCUGGAGCUCAACUCCAGAACUGCCUUUGAUACUGAGGAUCUCGAGUCCGGGAGAGGUGAGUGGAACUCCGAGUGUAGAGGUGAAAUUCGUAGAUAUUCGGAAGAACACCAGUGGCGAAGGCGGCUCAUUGCCCGGUACUGACGCUGAGGUGCGAAAGCGUGGGGAGCAAACAGG